rnacentral:rRNA from 1 species
CCCCCCUGAAUUUAAGCAUAUUAAUGAGGGGAGGAAAAGAAACUAACAAGGAUUUUCUUAGUAGCGGCGAGCGAAAAGAAAAGAGUUCAGCACUAAGUCACUUUGUCUUUAUGGCAAAUGUGAGAUGCAGUGUAUGGAAUGUCAAAUUUCUAGUAUGAGAAAUUAACGAUUUAAGUCCUUCUUAAAUGAGGCCAUUUACCCAAAGAGGGUGCCAGGCCCGUAUAACGUUAAUGAUUACUAGAUGGCAUUUCCAAAGAGUCGUGUUGCUUGAUAGUGCAGCACUAAGUGGGUGGUAAACUCCAUCUAAAACUAAAUAUAACCAUGAGACCGAUAGUAAACAAGUACCGUGAGGGAAAGUUGAAAAGAACUCUGAAUAGAGAGUUAAAUAGUACGUGAAACUGCUUAGAGGUUAAGCCCGAUGAACCUGAAUAUCCGUUAUGGAAAAUUCAUCAUUAUGAUUUUAAUAUUUAUAAUAUUAUAAUAAUGGUGUGCAUUUUUUCUAUAAAGGACAUUGUAAUCUAUUAACAGUUUAUUCAAAUUAUUUUGCUUGCAAUUUAACAUAGAAUAAAUGUCUUUGAUUUGAUAAAGUGUUGAUAGAUUUAUUAUAUAUAGUGCUUAAAUAUUUAUAUUUUAUAAUAGCAUAUUAAUCAUUGAUUUUUAUGUUUAUUAUAUGCACUUAUAUGAUUAACAAUGCGAAAGAUUCAGGAUACCUUCGGGACCCGUCUUGAAACACGGACCAAGGAGUCUAACAUAUUUGCAAGUUAUUGGGAAUAAAAACCUAAUAGCGAAAUUAACAUAACUUAAUGGGAUUAGUUUUUAGCCUAUUUAGUCUAUUAAUUCAAUCCCGGGGCGUUCUAUCAGUUAUGUAUAAUAAUAUUUAUAUUAUUUAUACCUCUAACUAGAGCGUACCUUGAGCAUAUAUGCUGUGACCCGAAAGAUGGUGAACUAUACUUGAUCAGGUUGAAGUCAGGGGAAACCCUGAUGGAAGACCGAAACAGUUCUGACGUGCAAAUCGAUUGUCAGAAUUGAGUAUAGGGGCGAAAGACCAAUCGAACCAUCUAGUAGCUGGUUCCCUCCGAAGUUUCCCUCAGGAUAGCUGGUGCAUUUAAAAAUUAUGUAAAAUAAUCUUAUCUGGUAAAGCGAAUGAUUAGAGGCCUUAGGGUCGAAACGACCUUAACCUAUUCUCAAACUUUAAAUGGGUAAGAACCUCACCUUUCUUGGUAUGAAGGUCGUGGUUGUGAUAUAAUGUGCCCAGUGGGCCACUUUUGGUAAGCAGAACUGGCGCUGUGGGAUGAACCAAACGUAAUGUUACGGUGCCCAAAUUAACAACUCAUGCAGAUACCAUGAAAGGCGUUGGUUGCUUAAAACAGCAGGACGGUGGACAUGGAAGUCGUAAUCCGCUAAGGAGUGUGUAACA